UACGUAGGGGGCAAGCGUUGUCCGGAAUCAUUGGGCGUAAAGAGCGUGUAGGCGGCUUGGCAAGUCUGACGUGAAAUCCCGCGGCUCAACCGCGGUCGGUCGUUGGAAACUGCCUGGCUAGAGUCCGGAAGAGGAGAGUGGAAUUCCUGGUGUAGCGGUGGAAUGCGCAGAUAUCAGGAGGAACACCCGUGGCGAAGGCGGCUCUCUGGGACGGUACUGACGCUGAGACGCGAAAGCGUGGGGAGCGAACAGG
rnacentral:rRNA from 1 species